rnacentral:rRNA from 1 species
GGUCUGAUUAUGGUUCAGAUUAACGCUGGCGGAUGCUUUACAAUACAAAAGUCGAACGGCAGCACGGACUUCGGUCUGGUGGCGAGUGGCGAACGGGUGAGUAAUGUAUCGGAAUGCCUAGUAGCGGGGGAUAACUACGCGAAAGCGUAGCUUAAUACCGGUAUACGCCCUUCGGGGAAAGCGGGGACCCUUCGCCUCGCACUAUUAGAGCGGCCGAUAUCGGAUUAGCUAGUUGGUGGGGUAACGGCUCACCAAGGCGACGAUCCGUAGCUGGUUUGAGGACGACCAGCCACACUGGGACUGAGACACGGCCCAGACUCCUACGGGAGGCAGGGGGGAAUUUUGGACAAUGGGGAAACCCUGAUCCAGCCAUCCCUGCGUGUGCGAUGAAGGCCUUCGGGUUGUAAAGCACUUUCGGCAGGAAAGAAACGGCACGGAUAAUACCCCGCAAAACUGACGGUAUUCUGCAGAAUAAGCACCGGCUAACUACGCCAGCAGCCGCGGUAAUACGUAGGUGCAAGCGGUGACCGGAAUUACUGGGCGCAAGCGUGCGCAGGCGGUUCGGAAAGCGAAAGAUGUGAAAUCCCAGAGCUUAACUUUGGAACUGCAUUUUUAACUACCGAGCUAGAGUGUACAGGGAGGUGGAAUUCCGCGUGUGUAGCAGUGAAUGCGAGAUAUGCGGAGGAACACCGAUGGCGAAGGCAGCCUCCCUGGGAUAACACUGACGCUCAUGCACGAAAGCGUGGGGAGCAAACAGGAUUAGACGGCUCCCGGUAGUCCACGCCCUAAAACGAUGUCAACUAGCUGCUGGGGCCUCGGGCCUGGUAUGCAGGCUAACGCGUGAAGUUGACCGCCUGGGGAGUACGGUCGCAAGAUUAAAACUCAAAGGAAUUUGACGGGACUCGCACAAGCGGUGGAUGAUGAUUAAUUCGGAUGCAACGCGAAAACCUUACCUACCCUUGACAUGUCUGGAAUCCCGAAGAGAUUUGGGAGUGCUCGCAAGAGAACCGGAACACAGGUGCUGCAUGGCUGUCGUCAGCUCGUGUCGAGAUGUUGGGUUAAGUCCCGCAACGAGCGCAACCCUCUUAAGUCAUUAGUUGCCACAGCGGGCAUCAAUGAGACUGCCGGUGACAAACCGAGGAAGGUGGGGAUGACGUCAAGUCUCAUGGCCCUUAUGGGUAGGGCUUCACACGUCAUACAAUGGUCGGGACAGAGGGUCGCCAACCCGCGAGGGGAGCCAAUCCCAGAAACCCGAUCGUAGUCCGGAUCGCAGUCUGCAACUCGACUGCGUGAAGUCGGAAUCGCUAGUAAUCGCGGAUCAGCAUGUCGCGGUGAAUACGUUCCGGUCUUGUACACACCGCCCGUCACACCUCAUGGGUGGGUUUUACCAGAAGUAGUUAGCCUAACCGUAAGGAGGGCGGAUACCACGGUAGGAUUCAUGAUCAGUGGAAGUCGUAAGAAGUGGCA